UGGCUUUUACACGGGUGGUUGGCAUCUGAGCUCAAUUCUUCACUUUACCUGGUGAGCCCCACGUAUUAGACUCGGGUGGAACCUUUAGGGAGUGAAGCCCAAAGGGAAUUGUGGGAACCUGCCUAAUCCUGUGCUCUGUCCCUAGCUGGGCAUGUGACUGCUCACUCUGACAUGAUCGCCCCUCGUAAUCACUAAGCUCCCUCACCAAACACUCAAUCCAAAGACAUAGUCUGACAUUGGACUUGAGCCCCCAAAGCUGUAGACUACACAUACCUUUCCUCCUUGUAAGUUUGACUUCUCUGAUGUUUCUUUACAGCAGCACAGAACCGUAAUGUAGCAAGCUAAAGCAAAAAGCCGAAGGAUGAGUGGCUUUACCCACAGAGGGUCACUGUCCGACCAUUGGAGGCCUGGAAUUCCAAGACCAAGGUGUCAGCAGAAUCUGUUUCUCCUGGGACCACUCUGCUUGGCUGCCUUUCCCAUAUGUGUGUGUCUUGACCUCCCCUUUUAAGGACACCGGUCAUAGUGAAUCAUGGCCCGCCCAAAUAAACUCCUGUUACCUUGAUCAUUUUUCUUUCUGUGUGUGUGGAGUG
rnacentral:lncRNA from 1 species